CAACCCUCAAGCUUAGCUUGGUAUUGAAUCAUAUCAGUAAUGAUAGAUUCUAAAAUCAGUGGCGGCGCCGCUGGGUCCUGAACGUAGUAAUAUCUCUCGUUACAGGUUCUCAGUGAGCUUCUGCCAAAACCCAAAUUUUCUAU
rnacentral:misc_RNA from 1 species